UAUGGAGGAUGCGAGCGUUAUCCGGAUUUAUUGGGUUUAAAGGGUGCGUAGGCGGACGCUUAAGUCAGCGGUAAAAUUGCGGGGCUCAACCUCGUCGAGCCGUUGAAACUGGGUGCCUUGAGUGGGCGAGAAGUACGCGGAAUGCGUGGUGUAGCGGUGAAAUGCAUAGAUAUCACGCAGAACUCCGAUUGCGAAGGCAGCGUACCGGCGCCCAACUGACGCUGAAGCACGAAGGCGUGGGUAUCGAACAGG
rnacentral:rRNA from 1 species